CUUAUCGUGAGAGGUGGAGGGACUGGCCCUAUGAAACCCGGCAACCGGCAAAUAUCAUUUUGACAAGGUGCCAAUUCCUGCAAGGCUUAUAGCUUUGAAAGAUAAGG
rnacentral:ncRNA from 1 species